ensembl:lncRNA
CGCCUCGCACCGCAGACGCUGCAGUUCUCGGCACCCAGGCAGAUGGCCCUCUCGUGCCACCGCCGCCCGGCGCAGGCCGCCUGCUCCGCAGCCCUGCUCCCCGGGGAGCGCGCGCCUCGCCCCUGCGGUCCGGGCAUCGGGACCCCGGCGGAACAGCGCUGGGAGGGCGGACCGCCGGCUGGCGCGGCCAAGCCUGCUGGCCUCAUCCCGGGCCUGGGGCGCUCUGCUCUCGGGCGCCUGGGACCUCGAGGCCUGCACCCAGCGCUCAGGGCCCCGCAGCGCCGGCGGCGGCGCGUCCGGUCAUCAAAGACAGCGCAAGGGCAGGUCUGGGAAGCCGAGCCCAGCCUGACCCCGCGACUCCAGCCCCCCAGGCCCUUCCCCCAACCCGGCCCGACCCCGUCGCCCCCUGGGCUUGCUCCCUGGCAAAAAGCUCACCUCGGGAACUAGCUGGUCCCUAGAGUGCUAAGCGCACCCUCACUAUUCCAAGAAAACCACAAUCGACCGCCAUAAAAAUUUCGCCUCCUCCAGAAAGCCUUCUGUGAUUAGAGUUAACUCCAUCGCAAAGCUGAGGGCACCGCCCUCGAGAGCCACGUGACUAUCAUUCCUCCCAGGGCUUAGUAAAUGUGCAUAAUUAUUGCCCCAGUGGAGUGUUUACCCGCAGCCCUUCUCUCUGUUAACCGUGAGCCCACCUAGGAGAAGGGCCACUUUCGGCGUUGCCCUGUGCGGCAGCGGCGCAGGCCUCCCUAAACCCCAUCCUUCAGCCUUCCCCGACCUUCAUCCGAAGACUGGCCCCGUAGGCUUGGAGCUGGGGAUGCCCCUAGCCGCCUGCUCUCCAAGGCCCACAGUCCAGUCAUGGAGACUCACAAGUCAACAGAUCCUUAGCACACCAUAAGUGGGGGAUGCAGACCCUGCCAAGACAGCUAGUAGGCUUUCUCAGAGGGAAGGAGCCCCCCUGAACCAGAGUGAUGAGGGGGGCACUGUGACCCCACGGGGCCUCCCUCCCUCUGCUGAAGAAAAUGAGGUACCCUGCAGGCUCCCAGGGGCAAAGUCAGGUUGGCAGUGUUCUGUGUGCUAGGAUCAGCCAGAGAAGAGCUGGGUCUACACCUCAGGGUCUCGCCCUAGAGGGACCAGCCCUUUGCUCCUCUGAGGAGUCACUCCUGCUAACCCCAUCUGGGCAGUUCAGUGGGGAAGCUCUGACUGGUUCCUUCUUCACACCUACUCAUUUGAGCUGGUCAUUUCUGACUGACAUUCUGACUGACAUCCCCCUGCAAAUGAUCCAAUUCAUCAAGGUACCUUUAAACCCUUUACUCACCCACAGACCAUCCUAAGUGCCUGAGAACUGCCACUGUAUGCCCUUCAGCCAGUCAGGUAACAGCUCCAUGCCUCAGUUUCCUCGCCUGAGGCUUCCAAUGCGCAGGGCAGCUGUGAGGGUCCCGUAAGGCAAAGCUAAGUGUUAGGUUCCUGUACAGACUAAGCACCUGAUGAAUGCUGAAAUGUAGUUCAUUGCUUUGUUCAGCAACCUUUUCCUGCAUCCCAGGUGGUAUACCAGACACUGAGGAAACACAGGAUGAGAUGCCUGCCUCAGGAAAAGACACCUCAAGAAAGAUGCUAAGCUACUCUCCAAGACACCGUCUCACUCCAUUCUGAGGUGGGCACUAUUGCUAUCCUCACCUUCCAGAGAGGAAGCGUGACUCGCUCAGGGCCAAACUCACAGCCCCAACUCCCACUUCAAGCUCUUCAUCCCUACCGGACAGAAGCAGCAUCUGCUUUCUGACUAGACAGCCGGGUUUUGGAGGAAGUAUGGAGGCCUUUGGUAAUUAAUCCCAAAUGCUGCUGGUAAACACUACAACCAUCCCUUCAGAUGGUCCAGGAAUUGUUUCUUUUCUCUCCCCACCCAGUGGUUUCCCCA